rfam:Zea mays cultivar B73 chromosome 7, whole genome shotgun sequence.
ACUCAUCUAGCUUAGUCGGUAGAGUGCAAGGCUUUUAACCUUGAGGUUGUAGGUUCAAGUCCCAUGGUGAGCG